CUGCUUCCUUAUUCUCCCUCUUGGAUCUCUUGCACUGUGAGGAGACAGCUACCACAUCAUGAGGAACUUACCCAGCACCAUAAAGACCUGUGAGGGAGGGAGCUUAGCCUCAUCAACUGUCAUAUGAAUCUGGAAGCACUGGUUGUGAAGAUACACAUUUACUUCUCUGGUUAUACGAAAGAACAGAAAUACAGAAAGAAACCAAAAUACAGUUGGGCUUUCUGAAGAAUAACUUUCUGUGAUGCAAUCUGCAGAAGCUGAAGUGGCUGCCUCUUCCUCACCCCACCCCACCCCACCCCUGCCAAUACCUGCAGAUGCCAAAGGACAGUCGAGUUUGUGCACACACUUGCAAUGCUUCAGAGCCGUUCUACCUUGUCUGCCCCAUAGUGAUGGACUAACAUUUCUGAAACCAUGAGCCAGAAUCAGCCCUUUGACUCUGCUGUUGGGCAUUUUGUUACAGCGAUGAGAAAAGCUGACCGGUAUGAUGAAGAAAAAAAAUUAAGAUGGAAACAAUAACAAACUGAGAACAUGUAAAGGAUGUGAGAGCUGGAGGAGGGGAGGGUAGAACUGAAACCCACCACUAUUCAAAGUUCAAAACUGUGUGGUCAUACCUGUCAGUGUCUCCUUAGUCUCCUGGGAUAUCAACCAUUCUUAUUCUUUUAUCUCUACAACCUAGAACUAAUGCAUGUCCUACUGGCGCCUCCCAGUUUCUCUUCACGGACAUACCUGGGCAGCUGCACCUAACAUGACUUCCUUGGGCUUUCUCCACCCGCUACAGCCCUGUGCACAGACUCACUGAAGGGAUACACUUUUCUCCAAGGCUUAUUCUGUUUUCUACAAAGGUUCUUCUGAAGACCAAGUUAUUCAUCCAUCAAAUAUUUAUGUAGAGGAUUGGCAGGCGGUGCUUGCAGAUAAACAGAUUAAAUUCUUUAUCUGAAGACUUUGACUUCUAGAUCUGGGGACAGAAUGUAACAAGGGGGUGGAACAAAACACAGACAGGAACAGUGUAUAUAGAUUGGCAGAGUUAAGAAAUGUGGGGUGUUUACCCACCAACCCCACAGUUCCCCAGAGUUUUCUUGAGUGUGAGCAGCAGGAAAUAUUAGAUAGAAGGAUUUAUUGCGGAGAAUAUUGCAGAGAUAAACAGAAAAUAAAGGAUAGCCUCAAGAGGGCCUGGAACCUUUUCCAACGGGCCAACUGUCUCUGCCCCAGGGUUUUUAUAGAGAUGCCAAGGGGUGGAGCAAAUGACCUCCUCCCCCAGCACAGCCAAGUGCAGACCAUCUCAGACACCUGCACUCAGGCCCGUGGUCCUAAUCAUCCUCUAUGCGGACCUGCUGGGUAAAGCCACGAGGAACCCAAAAACGGGCUCCCACAAAGAAAGCUGUCCCGAGCUCUUCCGCUGGAAGCUGAAGGUUCAGAAGGAUCCUAGUGGAUGGAAGAACGUUUCGGGUUAAAUCAACUAGGUAAAAAAUGCAAGCAUUCUUGAAGAUGAGGAAAUAAUUCAGAGAUGGUGUGUGGAAUGGAUGUAGGAUAUAAAUGGUAAAAGAUUAGAUAGAUAGAAAGCAGGUCAGUACCUU